rnacentral:rRNA from 1 species
GACUCGGAGGCUUACCUGCAAGUCGAGGGGUAACAGGAAUAGCUUGCUAUUUGCUGACGACCGGCGCAGGGGCGUAACGCGUAUGCAACCUACCUUUUACAGAGGGAUAGCCCGAAGAAAUUCGGAUUAAUACCUCAUAAUAUUGAUAUUUGGCAUCAAAUAUUAAUUAAAGUUUCGGCGGUAAAAGAUGGGCAUGCGUUUUAUUAGUUAGUUGGUAAGGUAACGGCUUACCAAGACUACGAUAAAUAGGGGUCCUGAGAGGGAGAUCCCCCACACUGGUACUGAGACACGGACCAGACUCCUACGGGAGGCAGCAGUGAGGAAUAUUGGACAAUGGGCGAGAGCCUGAUCCAGCCAUGCCGCGUGCAGGAAGACGGCCCUAUGGGUUGUAAACUGCUUUUAUACAGGAUGAAACCUUCUUACGUGUAGGGUGCUGACGGUACUGUAAGAAUAAGCACCGGCUAACUCCGUGCCAGCAGCCCCGGUAAUACGGAGGGUGCAAGCGUUAUCCGGAAUCAUUGGGUUUUAAAGGGUCCCGUAGGCCGGAUUUAUUUAAGUCAGAGGUGAAAUUCCCACAGCUUUAACUGGUGGGAAACUGCCCUUUUGAAUACUGGGUAAGUCUUGGAGUUAUUUGGGAAAGUAAAUAGAAAUGGUGUUAUUGGAAGCGGUGGAAAUGGCCUUAGAUUUUUCCCCAGAAUACCCGUUGGCAAAGGCCAGUCCUACUUCGUUUUUUUCCGGACCCUUAAGGGGACGAAAAACCUGGGGGGAGCCAAACGGGAUUUAAAAACCCCCGGGUAAUCCCCCCCCCCCCAAAACCAAGGGAACCCAAUUUUUUGGGGAUUUUAUCCCCAGGGGCCAACCCAAAAGUGUAAAAGGGGCCCCCCCCCCGGGGGAGAGACA